rnacentral:tRNA from 1 species
UUCUAGGCAGUGCAAACAGUUAGUGCAUUUGGCUGCCAACCAAAAGGUUGAAGGUUCAAAUCCACCUAGAAA